GCACAAGCGGUGGAGCAUGUGGUUAAUUCGAAGCAACGCGAAGAACCUUACCAGGUCUUGACAUCCCGAUGCUAUUUCUAGAGAUAGAAAGUUACUUCGGUACAUCGGUGACAGGUGGUGCAUGGUUGUCGUCAGCUCGUGUCGUGAGAUGUUGGGUUAAGUCCCGCAACGAGCGCAACCCCUAUUGUUAGUUGCCAUCAUUCAGUUGGGCACUCUAGCGAGACUGCCGGUAAUAAACCGGAGGAAGUGGGGAUGACGUCAAAUCAUCAUGCCCCUUAUGACCUGGGCUACACACGUGCUACAAUGGUUGGUACAACGAGUUGCGAGUCGGUGACGGCGAGCUAAUCUCUUAAAGCCAAUCUCAGUUCGGAUUGUAGGCUGCAACUCGCCUACAUGAAGUCGGAAUCGCUAGUAAUCGCGGAUCAGCACGCCGCGGUGAAUACGUUCCCGGGCCUU
rnacentral:rRNA from 1 species